GACGAACGCUGGCGGCGUGCUUAACACAUGCAAGUCGAACGGAAAGGCCCUGCUUUUGUGGGGUGCUCGAGUGGCGAACGGGUGAGUAACACGUGAGUAACCUGCCCUUGACUUUGGGAUAACUUCAGGAAACUGGGGCUAAUACCGGAUAGGAGCUCCUGCUGCAUGGUGGGGGUUGGAAAGUUUCGGCGGUUGGGGAUGGACUCGCGGCUUAUCAGCUUGUUGGUGGGGUAGUGGCUUACCAAGGCUUUGACGGGUAGCCGGCCUGAGAGGGUGACCGGCCACAUUGGGACUGAGAUACGGCCCAGACUCCUACGGGAGGCAGCAGUGGGGAAUAUUGCACAAUGGGCGGAAGCCUGAUGCAGCAACGCCGCGUGCUGGAUGACGGCCUUCGGGUUGUAAACCGCUUUCGCCUGUGACGAAGCGUGAGUGACGGUAAUGGGUAAAGAAGCACCGGCUAACUACGUA
rnacentral:rRNA from 1 species